rnacentral:rRNA from 1 species
AGUGAACGCUGGCGGUAGGCCUAACACAUGCAAGUCGAACGGCAGCACAGUAAGAGCUUGCUCUUACGGGUGGCGAGUGGCGGACGGGUGAGGAAUACAUCGGAAUCUACUUUUUCGUGGGGGAUAACGUAGGGAAACUUACGCUAAUACCGCAUACGACCUACGGGUGAAAGCAGGGGAUCUUCGGACCUUGCGCGAUUGAAUGAGCAGAUGUCGGAUUAGCUAGUUGGCGGGGUAAAGGCCCACCAAGGCGACGAUCCGUAGCUGGUCUGAGAGGAUGAUCAGCCACACUGGAACUGAGACACGGUCCAGACUCCUACGGGAGGCAGCAGUGGGGAAUAUUGGACAAUGGGCGCAAGCCUGAUCCAGCCAUACCGCGUGGGUGAAGAAGGCCUUCGGGUUGUAAAGCCCUUUUGUUGGGAAAGAAAAGCAGCAGGUUAAUACCCCGCUGUUCUGACGGUACCCAAAGAAUAAGCACCGGCUAACUUCGU